AUGGCAUUCUGCAGCCCACACAGCACCACAUCCCUGCGCUCCCCAUGCACCACCAUCCCAAACUCUGGCUUCAGGCAGAACCAAGUCAUCCUCUUCACGACCAGAAGCAGCAGGAGGAGUAACACGAGGCAUGGGGCAAGGACCUUCCAGGUCUCAUGCGCAGUUGAGCAGCCAAUAGUGAUUGGCCUGGCAGCAGACUCGGGAUGUGGGAAAUCCACCUUCAUGCGCCGGCUCACAAGCGUGUUUGGAGGUGCUGCAGAGCCACCCAAGGGCGGCAACCCAGACUCCAACACGCUCAUCAGCGACACGACGACGGUCAUAUGCCUUGAUGACUACCAUUCCUUGGACAGAACCGGGAGGAAGGAGAAAGGUGUGACCGCCCUGGACCCCAAGGCAAACGACUUUGAUCUCAUGUAUGAGCAGGUGAAGGCAAUCAAGGAAGGCAAGGCUAUUGAGAAGCCAAUCUACAACCACGUCACUGGCCUCCUCGACCCGGCGGAGCUCAUCCAGCCCCCCAAGAUCUUCGUCAUCGAGGGUUUGCACCCAAUGUACGAUGAACGUGUGAGAGAGCUCCUUGAUUUCAGCAUCUACUUAGACAUCAGCAAUGAGGUUAAGUUCGCAUGGAAAAUUCAGAGAGACAUGGCAGAGCGUGGGCACAGUCUUGAAAGCAUCAAGGCUAGCAUCGAAGCCAGGAAACCUGAUUUUGAUGCCUUUAUUGAUCCGCAGAAGCAAUACGCUGAUGCUGUGAUUGAAGUUCUGCCAACCCAGCUGAUUCCUGAUGACAACGAAGGAAAGGUGCUGCGAGUUAAAUUGAUCAUGAAAGAAGGCAUUAAGUUCUUCAACCCGGUUUACCUCUUCGAUGAAGGAUCAACCAUCAACUGGAUCCCUUGUGGAAGAAAGCUUACAUGCUCUUAUCCUGGCAUCAAAUUUUCCUAUGGCCCAGACACUUACUUUGGCCAAGAGGUAUCGGUGCUGGAGAUGGAUGGGCAAUUUGACAGACUAGAUGAACUCAUCUAUGUUGAGAGCCACCUAAGCAACCUCUCAACCAAGUUCUACGGGGAGGUGACACAGCAAAUGCUAAAGCAUGCAGACUUCCCAGGCAGCAACAAUGGAACAGGUCUCUUCCAGACCAUUGUAGGACUGAAGAUUAGAGAUCUCUAUGAACAGAUCAUCGCUGAGAGGGCCGGCGUUCCUGCUGAAGCAGCAAAAGUUUGA
rnacentral:rRNA from 1 species